rnacentral:ncRNA from 1 species
GCAAAGAUAAAAACGCAACGUGCGCCGCAAGGCGUGCCAGAGCCGGUAGGUAGCCCGGCCGUCCCGGCUUUGCCGGGGUAAGUAACCCUCCCCUCCGGGUCGUCCGUUCUUUGUUCGUA